UGACACCGUAUAUGGUAGAGGCAUUGAUUUUGACACAAGAUUGGUUGCGGUCUUCACUCCAAUCUGAUGCAACAGUAAGCCUGGCUCAGAUAUUAGAAGAAACUCAGUUUAUGGAUAUGCUUGCAGAAGAGAUUCGCAAAUCAGCAGGGCAACUUCAUAUUGAUCCGUGAUGAUGGAUGAACAACUUAACAACAUAUGAGUUUGGAAUUUGGAUUGCUAUGUUGAUUGUGUUUGAAUUGUUAUGUUGGUAUCUAAUAUUUAGAUAUUAGACUUUGGAUU